rnacentral:rRNA from 1 species
GAUGAACGCUGGCGGCGUGCCUAAUACAUGCAAGUCGAGCGAACAGACGAGGAGCUUGCUCCUCUGACGUUAGCGGCGGACGGGUGAGUAACACGUGGAUAACCUACCUAUAAGACUGGGAUAACUUCGGGAAACCGGAGCUAAUACCGGAUAAUAUAUUGAACCGCAUGGUUCAAUAGUGAAAGACGGUUUUGCUGUCACUUAUAGAUGGAUCCGCGCCGCAUUAGCUAGUUGGUAAGGUAACGGCUUACCAAGGCAACGAUGCGUAGCCGACCUGAGAGGGAGAUGGGCCACAGUGACACAGACACGCGGCCCAGACCCAUGCGAGAGGCAGGAGUGGAGAAUCUUCCGAAGUGGGCAAACGCUUGACAGAGCAACCCCGCGUGAGUGAAAAAGGUCCUCAGAGCGAAAAACUCUGUUAUGGGGGAAAAACAAAUGUGUAAGUAACUAGCCACGUCUACACGGUCCAUAAAAAGAGAGCCAGGUAUAACCACG